UACGUAGGUGGCAAGCGUUGUCCGGAAUUAUUGGGCGUAAAGCGCGCGCAGGCGGUUAUGUAAGUCUGAUGUUAAAGCCCGGGGUUCAACCUCGGUUCGCAUUGGAAAAUGUGUAACUUGAGUGCAGAAGAGGAAAGUGGUAUUCCACGUGUAGCGGUGAAAUGCGUAGAUAUGUGGAGGAACACCAGGGGCGAAGGCGACUUUCUGGUCGGUAACUGACGCUGAGGCGCGAAAGCGUGGGGAGCAAACAGG
rnacentral:rRNA from 1 species